rnacentral:lncRNA from 1 species
AGCGUCGCAUCGUUUUUUAAUCUGAAUGCAUGCGUAUUAGAUAACAAUAUCUGCUCCAAUCACAAUGGAUAUUCAUUUGUAGUGGGACAAAUGAUGAAAUCUAAUAAGACGGGCUUUGUUGGACAGGAUGUACUUUUAUCAUGCCACUGUUCUAAUGAGACCAAGGAACUGAUAUGGCAGAAGGGUCAGAGAGUAGUGAAUGUUCAUCCGCAUGACAAAAGCAUCAUAGAUGAUUCCUACGUAGAUAGGACGCAACUCUUCCUAAACAAGGAGAAGAGAAACUGCUCCCUGCUGCUCCGCAACUUCUCUUCAGAAGAUGAAGGACUGUACACCUGUCAUGCCCUUGCCAGUGUUGGUGACAACCUCUGGUCAAAGAGGUCAUCAGAAGUUAAUCUAACAAUGUCUGAAAUGAAGAACGACUCUAAAACAAAUGGCCAAACUGGAGGCAGUUCUGUCACAGCUGUGUCUGUUAGUGUUCCCAUAUUGGUAGUAGUGCUUAUACUGGCAGCUAGCCUGCUUCUAACCCUACUGAUCAGAAGACGACAUCGGACAAACACGGACACUGGUUUACUGGCUGAGAGACCUAUGCUAAGGAAUGUGUGAAGUUCUCUUGCUUGAUAGUUUUAUGGACUAACUUCUAUGUUGUAAUGCAAGGUCCUUCACAACAACAAUGGACAAUACAAGGCCUUAGCCCUAAACAAAUUCGUUUGCAUGUGGGCAUCACACAGUGGUGCGUGCCGAUCCGUCUCGCUUCGGGACAGAUCAAUGUGCAGUCUUCAGUUGUAACACUGUUUGAUUACCACUGAAUUGUGAAUACACUGUGAAUAUACAUUCUGUAGGCAUUACAGUUUUGUAACUUGACAAGAUUCUCCUUGUAGGAACUGUCUUUAUUCAUUCUUUGAAGAACAUGUAGUAGUAGGGGAUGUGCAGUUUAUAUUUUGCCUUUUCCUCUCUCUUUGAGACACAUUGGUGGUCUCAGUCCUAAACAGGCUUUUCAAAUCACCUUAUUUUAUUGUUCAUAUGUGUACAGCAAUCAUUUACUAUCACAUCAUGUAAGCUUCUUUACAUUUACUCUUGUAUGGGUUGAUUUCCUCAGCCUGUGCUGAUUUUCAUUUAUGUGGAAGAAAUAUGUGGCACUCCCUAUGGGAUAUGUUUGCUUUUUUACUGUACUAAAUUUCAUUUACUUUUAAAUGAAUUCUGUAAAGUGCUUCAAACCUGCAGAGGCA